AGUGCUUUAUAGCCACAAAAAGUGCACUUAGGGAACUUGGAAGGCAGAAGCAGGAGCUGAUUAGAAGGAUGCUGUGUCCUAAUGUAUUCAAGCACUGGAUAACACUUCUGGAACUGUUAAAAGAUCUCACAGUCUCAAGGAGUGGUUUGACUCCUUUAUAUCUCUUUUCCAGAAUCCCUUUUUUUCAUGAGUGCCACACAGACUGAGCAUCACAGAGGUGCGAGUCCAAGUGUAGUGAAGGUGCUUCUCAGACAUCUAGGAUCCCUUGGCAGCUAAAACUCUGUUUUCUACAGGACCAUGAGUUUUGAAGUUGGAUGUUUCAACAUCUGUCUUCCAUUCAGACUUGAAGUGAACCCAGCAACAUGGCAUUUUCCAAUGUGAAUCCCCUCAAGGGAGUAGCUAUCCUCACGACAUGGCCAAAAUAAGUCAACAAGAUGUGAUUCUUCAUAAAAGUGGAAAAGUGCUUAAGGAAAGAAAGAAGAAUCACAUUUUUAGACUGGAGAAAACAUUUGAUGAGAUCUGAAUGCUGUAGAAAUAGAAAGCCAGCUUGACUACAAACAAAAUUAAGGGGAUGAAGCCAGCAAGUGGAAAAGCUGCAUUCCUCAUAAUAACUCUGCCAACAAGGUACUGACAGAAGAAAAUGUUGAAAGCUACAGUUUGUUAGAGCUGAAGCUGUGUUCAAAGAGAAGCUCUGUUAUUUUCUUGAUGUAAGAAUUAAAUGUUUCGGUUCUGGCUUUUUUGGAAUCUAAAAGUUACUGAUAGGCUUUUAUAAUGUUGCACAAGGGGUAUCUUAACACUAAACCAACUCCUGAAUGAUAAACCUAAGCUCAUCUUAUUGGACCAUUCUUUGCCCUUACUUUUGUAUUCGUUCACUCACUACAUAAUUAAGAUGUAUUUACCUGGGAAUUUUGUCAUCCAUUCCCCUUGAACUCAGAAGAAACUUAUGCACGUUGUGAGUAAUGUAUGUACAUGAAUCCCAUAGUUGAACUAGUGAUCUCAUAUACCACGUAUGUUUUUCAGACACAACAGCAUUACUAGUACCUUUGGUUAGAAUUUGUACUUUAAAGGUUGAAGGUGAUUAAGGCAAUUUCUGAAAUUACAUCAUCCCAACUCUGACAAGCCAGUGGGGACUGACAUUUUAAAGUAAUACUGUUUAAAAGCAGAGCAGUAAAAUUAUAAGAGCAUUUGCCAGGUUAAAGUUUUGUAAAAAUAGAGUGCUCUUCAGAUAUGAGUAACUGGAUAAUGUAUCAAGAAUAUGUUUCAUGAAAAUAUGACCCGCAAGUAUUUGCCUUCAUUUAUUGACUAUGUGCUGAAAAUCCUAAAAUUAUUUACCUUUUCUAACCCUGGGGUGCAUUUGAAGCAUUUUGCCUAUUUUGCCUGUUGUCACAAAUGUUGUAUCUUACAGAACCACUCAUCUGCAGAAUGUCAUCUGCCCUCUUUCCCACCCCCACAUUUGGCUGUGCUAAAUUGCCAGCACAGAAGUACCUCCCCUCCUUCUUUCAAACACCAAAACAUACAAGUGCCAUAAACAACCUUCUCACACAGGCUAAGACACGAACACGUGCUGUCAAUGGAGGGAGUUUUAUACUAAGUAACCCCUAAAAGUAUUUUUUUCCCUUUAGCUGAUGCUAAAUGGGUGACCUCAGCCAUGCAGACCCUCCAGUUUAAUUUCCCAAAGCAUUUAUAAGCUUGCACUCUUAGAAUUAUUUUUCAUAUACUAAAACAGCUGUGUAUACUCUUGUAGAAUGACACAAAGUUUAAUCUAAAUAAAUUUGUGAGGCUUUUUCUGGGGACUUGAUUUUGGUUGAAUUUCUAGAAUCUGCUGUUAAACAAGGUCUCCUGUUUUAGCAUCUGGCUAAAAGACUCUCAGGUGAAAUCCUUCAAGAAUCUCAUAGUUUAUACUUAAUAAGAUUUAAUUAUUUUACAAAUUAUCUCUUUCACAUUAGUGCUCCCUCUGCAUUUGCCACAUCCAAAAGAGCAAUCCAAGUGUUGAAUUAUAAAAAACAACUCCAGUAUAGAAAUAUGGGUAAUACACACAAGGUCAAAAAACAGGCAAGAGUAAUUUGCAACAACUAAAUUGCUUGAUGUAAUACUUUGGCUUGAUAGUCUUUAAGAGGAGACUUUACAUAAGUCAAAGGUCUUUGGAGUAAUUUGCAAAUCAAAAUCCUACCACUCUCCUAAAUCCUUUUAAUCCAGUCGUUAAUCUCAAUAAUGACCUAGUUUUUGGAACCUUUACUGUGUUCAGCCACUUAAUGACAUUACCUAGUUUGCCCUUUGAAACUUUUAAAGGAGAAAUACAUGGACAUAAAUAACAUCCUGCUAAAAUGUAACUGAAGCCAUCCUGAACAAGUGCAGUUUUAUAGAAGAAAAUAUCCUAGCACCUGCUGAAGUCUCAUAAAGCUUCUCUCUUUAUCAUAACACUAUGAUUUUUAUUAGGUAGUAGAGCUUUGCAUAAUAGAAUGGAAGAAUGAGGUGGAUACCAAAUAGCUGACAAUUGUUAAAGACAUCAAAGUGAAGAAUGAGCAGCUAUUAUAUAGUCUGGAUUUUUUUCUUAGCAUCGACUGCUGUGCAUUGUAUGAUCACUGAUAUACCUGUUUUUCUGCAAAAAUAGAUCAUGGAGAAAAUCACUGGAUUCAUAUGAGUUUUGAAAUUAUAGAGGAAAGAAACUAUCAAACAUGAAAACACACAGAGCAACUAUUUCCAUGUGAUUCUGUUACAGAGAGUAAGAACUGGUUCACUUUUAGUGGGAGACACUUCAUUAAUACCAAAGUUCCUCAACAAGAGAAGGCAUAGACCAGCUAAACUACAGCUUUGUACAGCACUAAAUGCUCUCCAAUGCUAUGCACAGGUGAAAAUUAAAGCCUGAAGUUCACUUACAGUCAUUGCUUAGCUGGCAUAUAGGCUCUGUACUGUGUCUGGGGCAGCAUGCCAGAAGAGUUUUACACAGUAGGUUGAUGCAAUUUCUGUGUAAUUCCACCACCAAGAUAAUCACAUACUUGAUGGAUUCCCAGAUAUCUUUCAAAACUGUUAAGCAUAUUUUCAAAUGGAAUGCUCGAACAG